rnacentral:rRNA from 1 species
AAUCUUCCACAAUGGACGGAAGUCUGAUGGAGCAACGCUGCGUGAGCGAAGAAGGUUUUCGGAUCGUAAAGUUCUGUUGUAAGGGAGGAAAGGGACGGUACCUUAGGCGGAAGCCCCGGCUAACUACGUGCCAGCAGCCGCGGUAAUACGUAGGGGGCGAGCGUUAUACGGAAUUAUUGGGCGUAAAGGGUGCGUAGGCGGCCUUUUAAGUCAGAUGUGAAAGGCUACGGCUUAACCGUAGUUAGCAUUUGAAACUAAAAGGCUUGAGUGCAAGAGAGGAGAGUGGAAUUCCUAGUGUAGCGGUGAAAUGCGUAGAUAUUGGGAGGAACACCAGUGGCGAAGGCGACUACCUGGACGAAAACUGACGCUGAGGCACGAAAGCUAGGGGAGCAAACAG